GAUGAACGCUAGCGGCAGGCUUAACACAUGCAAGUCGAGGGGCAGCGCGGGUAGCAAUACCUGGCGGCGACCGGCAAACGGGUGCGGAACACGUACGCAAUCUACCUUUAUCUGGGGCAUAGCCCGAAGAAAUUCGGAUUAACACCCCAUAUUAUAUUUGAGUGGCAUCACUUGGAUAUUACAACUCCGGUGGAUAAAGAUGAGCGUGCGUCCCAUUAGCUAGUUGGUAGGGUAACGGCCUACCAAGGCGACGAUGGGUAGCUGGUGUGAGAGCACGACCAGCCACACGGGCACUGAGACACGGGCCCGACUCCUACGGGAGGCAGCAGUGAGGAAUAUUGGUCAAUGGACGCAAGUCUGAACCAGCCAUGCCGCGUGGAGGAUGAAGGCCUUCUGGGUUGUAAACUUCUUUUAUUGGGGAAGAAAAGCACGGUUUCUACUGUGUCCGACGGUACCCAAGGAAUAAGCACCGGCUAACUCCGUGCCAGCAGCCGCGGUAACAC
rnacentral:rRNA from 1 species